AUACAAACAAAACACAAUAACCAAAUCACUUCUUCCAAAGCUCCUUCAUUAACGGGCUGUAUCUUGUUUUUUUUUUCUAACCACUCCACAAAUUUAGCGUUUAUCUGGAGGGACAUCGGGUCACAUUUCAAGACAGGGUCAUCGUCGAGGCACCAAAUCCGUAUUUCUGGCCAAGUGGAGUGGAAAUCCGUGUCAAGAAAAUGAACAACGAAGUGAGAAUGAAAAGGAUGGGAGGACGACCAGCAAAGCUCUACAAUCAGCAUUUGUCAAGUGAAAAAGAAAGACUGGAAAUAAAGACGUUAACAGCUUGGUGGUGAAGCAGGAAACACAAUAACAUGGUUUUGCAGCUGUUGGGGAGAUUUUUAAGAAAAAAAACAGCAAAGUUCUAUCCAAAAUGAAGGCUUUUUCUAAUCCUUACCAAAGUCAUCCUCUCCCUGCACUCGCCCUGGCUGUAAAUGCAAAAGUAUUGAUUUUAAAGUGCCACUUCUAACUUGCAAGGCAUGACACUGCCUUACACCUCAUUAUAUCACUGAUUUACUUACUCCCUCAGUCUAGCCAUACUAUCCACUUGCAGGGCGCGGGCCUCCUUGUCAAUCUCUGCCUUUAAAUGGAAACAGAUGAGGUCAGAACCUCCACCUGCGGGGCCCCAGCCCUCUGAGACAAGCUUCCUGCAAAUGUCAAACGCACACUGUCUUGGUAUUCAAGAGCAGACCCAAGAGCCAUUUGUUCAGCAACAUCCUUUACUUUGAAUCCUACCUCUACUUUCCUCCUCAGUUUGGCAGUGUUCACAGUGUAAGCUGAAUAGUUCAACCUUACAUCUUCUUACCUUGAAAACACCUGUAGGUAACAACUUGAGCAUCUACUAAAAUAACGUAUAUGGCAAGAAUGGAUGGAUUUGUACGGAUUCAUGUUCCCUCGAGGAUAUAUUAGCUUUUAUGGUUAUCUUGUUAUGUUUUACAUAUUAAAAUAUGUUGUUUUACCUUGAAAGAAGACCAGAUGUCACUAUCAAUAGCCUUUUUCAUUUGAUGAUCAAUUGGGAAGUGGUGAAAUGACAACGAUUUCUCAGAUCUUUUGUACGACAAUUCCAUUAGCUAAUGUUUGCAUUCAAUCACUUCAUAGCAAGCAUUCCUGUUUGAUUAAGUGUUAAGUGGUUAUUUGAUCCAGGGCGUUUCAUCCAUACCUUUCCUGACGGGUAGCGUAACACUAUCAAACAGUAACGCAAGCUUGGAAGUGGUUGAAUGCUACGUCAGCUGUUGCCUGACUGAAGCUAAUGGUUAUCAAAUAGCUUGUUUCAUAUUGAAAUAUGGCCCUGAUGUCCCUCCAGAUUUUUACUAGCCAUUGUCUUUUCAGUUGCUGAUUGUUUAAAGGCCUUGCAACCUGCAACACAGGAGUAUAACAGUUUAGCUUCCCACCUUCAGUGUGAUGUCAGAGGAAAAUCGUUGCCAUGUGAAUAUGGUCAACAGAAUUUGUUGUUUCGCGAUGUCGCAACCAUGUUCAUGCUUGUGUGUCGUGAUGAAUGUUUAAUUUGAACAUCUGACAUCUUUCCAAUAGUCUACAGACUAAA